GACGAACGCUGGCGGCGUGCCUAAUACAUGCAAGUUGAGCGCUGAAGGUUGGUACUUGUACCGACUGGAUGAGCAGCGAACGGGUGAGUAACGCGUGGGGAAUCUGCCUUUGAGCGGGGGACAACAUUUGGAAACGAAUGCUAAUACCGCAUAAAAACUUUAAACACAAGUUUUAAGUUUGAAAGAUGCAAUUGCAUCACUCAAAGAUGAUCCCGCGUUGUAUUAGCUAGUUGGUGAGGUAAAGGCUCACCAAGGCGAUGAUACAUAGCCGACCUGAGAGGGUGAUCGGCCACAUUGGGACUGAGACACGGCCCAAACUCCUACGGGAGGCAGCAGUAGGGAAUCUUCGGCAAUGGACGAAAGUCUGACCGAGCAACGCCGCGGGAGGGAAGAAGGGUUUCGGAUCGUAAAACUCUGUUGGUAGAGAAGAACGUUGGUGAGAGUGGAAAGCUCAUCAAGUGACGGUAACUACCCAGAAAGGGACGGCUAACUACGUG
rnacentral:rRNA from 1 species